rnacentral:rRNA from 1 species
AUUGAACGCUGGCGGCAGGCCUAACACAUGCAAGUCGAGCGGAUGAAGGGAGCUUGCUCCUGGAUUCAGCGGCGGACGGGUGAGUAAUGCCUAGGAAUCUGCCUGGUAGUGGGGGAUAACGUCCGGAAACGGGCGCUAAUACCGCAUACGUCCUGAGGGAGAAAGUGGGGGAUCUUCGGACCUCACGCUAUCAGAUGAGCCUAGGUCGGAUUAGCUAGUUGGUGGGGUAAAGGCCUACCAAGGCGACGAUCCGUAACUGGUCUGAGAGGAUGAUCAGUCACACUGGAACUGAGACACGGUCCAGACUCCUACGGGAGGCAGCAGUGUGGAAUAUUGGACAAUGGGCGAAAGCCUGAUCCAGCCAUGCCGCGUGUGUGAAGAAGGUCUUCGGAUUGUAAAGCACUUUAAGUUGGGAGAAAGGGCAGUAAGUUAAUACCUUGCUGUUUUGACGUUACCAACAGAAUAAGCACCGGCUAACUUCGUG